UAGCUCUUCAUUAUCUAAUAUUGUAAAUGUCCUAGUUUCAUCAACUAUUAUUGCUGCAUAACUGGAACUUUUAUUUAAUAACCAUAACACGCUACUUUUGUAAAAAAAUGUAAAAGUAUAACGCCACGAGGGUGUAUUUUUAGAAGUAAAACCUCUACCUUUUUAACGCUGAAUAAUCAAAACUCCAGUGAUUCGAUUCCAUUCCACCGACCGAGUUUGAAAGAUUCGACUCGGUGAAUCGAACUGUUCUACGCAUGCGCAGUAUCACGAAAGCAGGACUUCGUGUCUGAGACUCGAUUGCUCAAGUCUCAAUUCUGCCGAGCUUUUUUCGAUACCGGCAUCUUUUUUUUCUUCUUCCUCACUCUCCUGUUUAUCUCGCUUUUAUUUCUCUUCCUGAGAUCUCGGAAAGAAAUCACGGCACAAUGACCGGAGAUCACGGACACCACCAGGUGGAGUCUGGCUCUCGACUAAAUGAUUCCCACAAACAUAAAGACAAGCAUAAAGACAAAGAGCACAGGCACAAAGACCACAAGAAAGACAAAGAGCGUGAAAAGUCCAAGUACACUAACAGGUAAAGGUGCACUUCUACUUGUUCACUCGUUCGUUCUUUCGUUCUUUUUGUUUCUUCUUCACACUAUGAAUGCUGGGAAACGACUGGAUUUUAUAUCGUCUUGAAUAAAUCUUAAGCAUAUUAACUGUUUAUAUAUAAAAAAAAAAAAAAGUAAAGCGGUCUCAACCCGUUGGGAUUUAUUUUACAGUAAACUAUCGUGUUCGGUAACGUUUACCGCGGAGUUUGUUUUUAAUGAGAGGUUCUGACCUCUCCACGCAAAAGGAACGCACUUUUUUAAUUUUUUUUUUAAUUAAGGUAGUUGUCGUGAUUUCCACACCUGUGAGCAGCUUGGAAGCACCCUUGGGGGUGUCGAACCCCACUUUAAGCCCAUGGCUCUAGAACGCAACAGAAGAUCUUGAAUGUAAUGAUUUCAGAGGGGUUUCAGUGGUUUCAGUGGUCUCGCACGUUCUGCUCGUUCUUCUCUUUCUGGAAGUUUAAUGAGCUAAACAUUUAAAUACGGGCGGUUGUGUUCUUCAACAUUUUCCCACCAGGAGUUCUAUAGUGUUCUACUCUCCUGUGAUGCGCAAGUAGGAAACCCAGUUAUAUAACCAUGUAUGGUAUAAUUAUACACCCCUCUCUCUCGUUCUCCCUCUUUCUUUCUUUCUUUCUUUCUUUCUUCAAUUCUUUCCCUCUCUUUUCUUCUUUCUUUCUGUUUAAUUCUUUCUCUCUCUCUCCUUCUUCUUUCUUUCUAUUUAAUUCUUUCCCUCUCUUUUUCUUCU
ensembl:lncRNA